rnacentral:hammerhead_ribozyme from 1 species
AUGUACCUGACGAGACCCAGAAUGCAAAAUAGAUGCAACAAAACAUGUUGAACGGAGUUUCACCCAUAACGGACAGUAGCAGAAUAGGUCGAAACGAACGUUGUACAA